rnacentral:rRNA from 1 species
UUUAACGGCCGCGGUAUUUUGACCGUGCAAAGGUAGCAUAAUCAUUAGUCUUUUAAUAGGAGGCUGGAAUGAAGGGUUUGACGAGGUAUUGACUGUCUCAUUUAAUUUGAAAUUAAAAUUUAACUUUUCAGUUAAAAGGCUGAAAUUGUAUUGGAAGACGAGAAGACCCUAUAGAGCUUUAUAUUUAAAAUUAUAAUAAAUUUUUGUUUAUUAUUAUUUCUUAUUAUUUUAAUUAUUUUGUUGGGGUGACAAAAAUAUAUAAAUAACUUUUUUAUUUAAAUAACAUUGAUUUAUGAUUAUUAGAUCCAGUCUUAUUGAUUGUUAGAUUAAGUUACCUUAGGGAUAACAGCGUAAUCUUCCUUCAGAGUUCAUAUUUACAGGAAGGAUUGCGACCUCGAUGUUGGAUUAAGAUAAUAGUUAGGUGUAGCCGCUUAAUGUAUAGGUCUGUUCGACCUUUAAAUUCUUACAUGAUCUGA